rnacentral:tRNA from 1 species
GCAAUGGUGGUUCAGAAGUAGAAUUCUCACCUUCCAUGCAAGAGACCUGGGUUUGAUUCCCAGCCAAUGCA